rnacentral:rRNA from 1 species
UACGGAGGGUGCAAGCGUUAUCCGGAUUCACUGGGUUUAAAGGGUGCGUAGGUGGGCUCGUAAGUCCGUGGUGAAAUCCCCGAGCUUAACUCGGGAACUGCCGUGGAUACUAUUAGUCUUGAAUAUCGUGGAGGUAAGCGGAAUAUGUCAUGUAGCGGUGAAAUGCUUAGAUAUGACAUAGAACACCGAUAGCGGAGGCAGCUUACUACGCGAUUAUUGACACUGAGGCACGAAAGCGUGGGGAUCAAACAGG